CUAAUACCGGAUAAGACCACGAAGUUUCGGCUUCGGGGUCAAAGGUGGCCUCUGCAUGCAAGCUAUCACUCGAAGAUGGGCCUGCGCACCAUUAGCUAGUUGGCGAGGUAACGGCUCACCAAGGCGAAGAUGGUUAGCUGGUCUGAGAGGAUGACCAGCCACACUGGGACUGAGACACGGCCCAGACUCCUACGGGAGGCAGCAGUGGGGAAUAUUGGACAAUGGGGGAAACCCUGAUCCAGCGACGCCGCGUGGGUGAUGAAGGCCUUCGGGUCGUAAAGCCCUGUCUGGGGGGACGAAUCCCCCGCCGGUGAACAAUCGGCGGGAAUGACGGUACCCCCGAAGGAAGCACCGGCUAACUCUGUGCCAGCAGCCGCGGUAAGACAGAGGGUGCUAGCGUUGUUCGGAAUUACUGGGCGUAAAGGGCGCGUAGGCGGUCUGUUAAGUUCGGUGUGAAAUCCCUCGGCUCAACCGAGGAAGUGCGCCGGAUACUGGCAGACUUGAGUACCGGAGAGGAGGGUGGAAUUCCUGGUGUAGCGGUGAAAUGCGUAGAUAUCAGGAGGAACACCGGUGGCGAAGGCGGCCCUCUGGACGAGUACUGACGCUGAGGCGCGAAAGCGUGGGGAUCAAACAGGAUUAGAUACCCUGGUAGUCCACGCUGUAAACGAUGGGGACUAGUGUGGGGGGGGUAUUGACCCCUCCCGUGCCGACGCUAACGCAUUAAGUCCCCCGCCUGGGGAUUACGGCCGCAAGGUUAAAACUCAAAGGAAUUGGCGGGGGCCCGCACAAGCGGUGGAGCAUGUGGUUCAAUUCGA
rnacentral:rRNA from 1 species